GACGAACGCUGGCGGCGUGCUUAACACAUGCAAGUCGAACGGAAAGGCCCUGCUUUUGUGGGGUGCUCGAGUGGCGAACGGGUGAGUAACACGUGGGUAACCUGCCCUUGACUUUGGGAUAACUUCAGGAAACUGGGGCUAAUACCGGAUAGGAGCUCCUGCUGCAUGGUGGGGGUUGGAAAGUUUCGGCGGUUGGGGAUGGACUCGCGGCUUAUCAGCUUGUUGGUGGGGUAGUGGCUUACCAAGGCUUUGACGGGUAGCCGGCCUGAGAGGGUGACCGGCCACAUUGGGACUGAGAUACGGCCCAGACUCCUACGGGAGGCAGCAGUGGGGAAUAUUGCACAAUGGGCGGAAGCCUGAUGCAGCAACGCCGCGUGCGGGAUGACGGCCUUCGGGUUGUAAACCGCUUUCGCCUGUGGCGAAGCGUGAGUGACGGUAAUGGGUAAAGAAGCACCGGCUAACUACGUG
rnacentral:rRNA from 1 species